ensembl:lncRNA
GUCGCUCGCUCGUGUCCGACUCUUUGCAACCCCAUGAAUUGCAGCACGCCAGGCCUCCCUGUCCAUCACCAUCUCCCAGAGUUCACUCAUUCUCCUUUGGCACUGAUUUGGAAACCAAAACAUCGUGGAUACUCAAAGGACAACUUUAAUCCUUGCCGUCAUUUUCUUCAUCGUUGAUUUUAGAGAGGCUCCGAAGAUAUAAUUUACAGCCUCCAGAAGUCUAGCCGGGCGUGAUUGGAUGGUGUCCAGCCUUGCCAGAAUCAGAGAGGUGAGUUCCAGCCUUCUUGUUUCUCAAUGAAAGAAAAUAUUAUACCAGGUGAGUUAAUGCAAUCAAAAGGCGAACCCGCCAGACAAGGACACCAAACAAAACCAAACAGUUCAAAGGAAAUAAAAGUGUUACUAGACACCUCUGCAUUGCGCCCUGAGGUUCCGG